GAUAUGGGUGUAGGACUUGUGAUGCCAAUCCUGUGCCAGUCGGGAGGCCCAGGGCAUGGGGAUGGCCGGGCUACCCAGCGAGCUGUUGGCUGUGCCGGGACAGACUCCAGGCUCCCAGUGGCCCUGCUCUGAAGCGUGGCUCUGUCUCGCCACCUGGGGGCAGCCAGGUCCCCCUCCCCACCCCGCCGCAGGAGACUGGCCGUCCCUGCCAGCCUCGACGUUUCUGACAACUGGCUUCGGCCGGAGCCCCCUGGCCAGGAAGCCCGAGUGCAGAGCUGGAAGGAAGAGAAGAAACCCCACCUUCAGGGCAAACCAGGGAGACCCUCUUCCCCGGCCAAUGUCCCUGCUCUGCCUGGCGAGACGGUGACCUCCCCAGUCAGGGUGAGUAGCGAUGGGGAGCCGGGCAGGGGCCCAGCCCUCCGGCAUCCUCACCGCCCCUCCGUUCCCAGCUGCACCCCGACUACCUCUCCCCGGAGGAGAUACAGAGGCAGCUGCAGGACAUCGAGAGGCGGCUGGAUGCCCUGGAGCUCCGCGGCGUGGAGCUGGAGAAGCGACUGCGGGCGGCCGAGGGAGGUCCAAGGCCCAGCGUCUGGAGGAGCAGCAGCUGGACAUCGAGGGCGAGCUGCGCCGGCUCAUGGCCAAGCCUGAGGCUCUGAAGUCACUGCAGGAGCGGCGGCGGGAGCAGGAGCUGCUGGAGUGGUACGUGAGCACCGUGAACGACCGCAGUGACAUCGUGGACUCGCUGGACGAGGACCGGCUCC
rnacentral:sRNA from 1 species